UACGUAGGGUGCGAGCGUUAUCCGGAAUGAUUGGGCGUAAAGCGUCCGCAGGUGGCAAUUCAAGUCUGCUGUUAAAGCGCAGGGCUUAACUCUGUAAAGGCAGUGGAAACUGAAUAGCUAGAGUGUGGUAGGGGCAGAGGGAAUUCCCAGUGUAGCGGUGAAAUGCGUAGAGAUUGGGAAGAACAUCGGUGGCGAAGGCGCUCUGCUGGACCAUAACUGACACUCACAGGACGAAAGCUAGGGGAGCGAAUGGG
rnacentral:rRNA from 1 species